rnacentral:rRNA from 1 species
GAUGAACGCUGGCGGCGUGCCUAAUACAUGCAAGUCGAGCGAACAGAUAAGGAGCUUGCUCCUUUGACGUUAGCGGCGGACGGGUGAGUAACACGUGGGUAACCUACCUAUAAGACUGGAUUAACUCCGGGAAACCGGGGCUAAUGCCGGAUAACAUUUAGAACCGCAUGGUUCUAAAGUGAAAGAUGGUUUUGCUAUCACUUAUAGAUGGACCCGCGCCGUAUUAGCUAGUUGGUAAGGUAACGGCUUACCAAGGCAACGAUACGUAGCCGACCUGAGAGGGUGAUCGGCCACACUGGAACUGAGACACGGUCCAGACUCCUACGGGAGGCAGCAGUAGGGAAUCUUCCGCAAUGGGCGAAAGCCUGACGGAGCAACGCCGCGUGAGUGAUGAAGGUCUUCGGAUCGUAAAACUCUGUUAUUAGGGAAGAACAAAUGUGUAAGUAACUGUGCACGUCUUGACGGUACCUAAUCAGAAAGCCACGGCUAACUACGUG